rnacentral:rRNA from 1 species
GACAGAGGGUGCGAACGUUGUUCGGAAUUACUGGGCGUAAAGGGCGCGUAGGCGGUCAGCACAAGUCAGUUGUGAAAUCUCCGGGCUUAACUCGGAAAGGUCAACUGAUACUGUGCGACUAGAGUGCAGAAGGGGCAACUGGAAUUCUCGGUGUAGCGGUGAAAUGCGUAGAUAUCGAGAGGAACACCUGCGGCGAAGGCGGGUUGCUGGGCUGACACUGACGCUGAUGCGCGAAAGCCAGGGGAGCGAACGGG